GUGCUCGCUUUGGCAACACAUAUACUAAAAUUAGAAUAAUACAGAGAAGAUUAGCAUGGCCCUUGAGCAAGGAUGACACACAAAUUCAUAAAGCAUUCUAUAAUUUU
ensembl:snRNA U6 U6 spliceosomal RNA